ensembl:lncRNA DOCK8-AS2 DOCK8 antisense RNA 2
GCCGCCCGGUGGCUUUGCUUCAGGCGGAAGUCCGCGUGCUUUGAUACCCUCAGGGGGCACUUACAGGCUAGGUGGACACAGACACUAGUCCCACUUCUUUGGUUAUCUGUAUUCUGAGUCCACAAAUCAGAGGCAUCCAGUUGAAAAAGCUGAAAGCUUCUAGAAUGGCACUAUCCAAUAUGGUAGCCAGUGGCCCCCUGUGGCUACUGUGCACUUAAAAUGUGGCCAGUCCUAACUGCAACGUGCUGAAAAGACAGAAGCUGAUUGAGGUCCCAGCUUGGUAACAGUUUGAAGAGUUGCAGGACUGGCUGGAUGAGUACUGGCUGCAGCAAAUCAGGCUGCCAGGAUUCUUUAUGGCUGUUUCUGCUUCCACUACAGCUGAGUCAGAAAGGUCGCUGCCCCGUGGUGGCACUAGACGCAGUGGACCUGGCAAGCAAAUGUUUCCGCUAUUAGCUCUCAGCAACAGAGACUCAUUUAUGGUCACCUUGGAAAUCUGGGCUUAUCGAUCUACAGCCCAAGUCUGCUGAGAAGCUGGAGCUUACUAAAGGGGAAACCUGAGAGCUGUUCAAGCCCCAAAUAUUUUCCACUUCUGCGUCACCUCUGCUGUCUGUUAGCAGAGUGGAGGAGAAAAUACACAGCACAAACAACGUGAAAAAAUAGUUACUCUAUUCAUUAAAAGCUGUAACUUCCAGAUUGGACUUGAGAAGCAAUUAAGCAACAGAGGAACCUCAUCUACUAUCUGUAUUCAGGCAUGCUCAUGAGAACACGCUGCUCCAGCUGGACUUAGAGGAACCCGGUGCAUCACAGGCAUUCCUGACAGAGUCUCGUGGUCCUGCUGGUCCACUCAGUGGUACUCAGUCCUCCUCAUUCUCGGGGAUAGGUUCCAAGACCCCCAGGGGAUGCCUGAAAC